CACCUGGAAAUGCCCACAACUCCUACGAAAGCCUUGUCAAAUAUGUGUUCCUUAGGUUCACGGUACAGAGGGAGGGUCAAACUACCACCAGGGUCAUAAAACUACUCCUGGAAAUGCCCACAACUCCUACGAAAGCCUUGUCAAAUAUGUGUUCCUUAGGUUCACGGUACAGAGGGAGGGUCAAACUACCACCAGGGUCAUAAAACUACUCCUGGAAAUGCCCACAACUCCUACGAAAGCCUUGUCAAAUAGGUGUUCCUUAGGUUCACGGUACAGAGGGAGGGUCAAACUACCACCAGGGUCAUAAAACUACUCCUGGAAAUGCCCACAACUCCUACGAAAGCCUUGUCAAAUAUGUGUUCCUUAGGUUCACGGUACAGAGGGAGGGUCAAACUACCACCAGGGUCAUAAAACUACACCUGGAAAUGCCCACAACUCCUA